UACGGGGGGGCAAGCGUUGUUCGGAAUUACUGGGCGUAAAGGGUUCGUAGGUGGCCUACUAAGUCAUACGUGAAAUCCCUCAGCUUAACUGGGGAACUGCGUCUGAGACUGGAAGGCUUGAGUGCAGGAGAGGAACGCGGAAUUCCAGGUGUAGCGGUGAAAUGCGUAGAUAUCUGGAGGAACACCGGUGGCGAAGGCGGCGUUCUGGACUGCAACUGACACUGAGGAACGAAAGCCAGGGGAGCAAACGGG
rnacentral:rRNA from 1 species